rnacentral:rRNA from 1 species
GAUAAACGCUAGCGGCAGGCUUAACACAUGCAAGUCGAGGGGCAGCAUAGAUUGUAGCAAUACAAUUGGUGGCGACCGGCGCACGGGUGCGUAACGCGUAUGCAACCUACCCGUCACAGGGGGAUAAUCCGGAGAAAUCUGGUCUAAUACCCCAUAACAUAUGGAUCGGCAUCGGUUCAUGUUGAAAUUUUCGGAGGUGACGGAUGGGCAUGCGUAGCAUUAGCUUGUUGGUGGGGUAACGGCUCACCAAGGCGACGAUGCUUAGGGGGACUGAGAGGUUUUCCCCCCACACUGGUACUGAGACACGGACCAGACUCCUACGGGAGGCAGCAGUGAGGCAUAUUGGUCAAUGGGCGCAAGCCUGAACCAGCCACGCCGCGUGCAGGAUGACGGCUCUAUGAGUUGUAAACUGCUUUUGUACGAGGGUAAAGUGGGUUACGUGUAACCUUUUGAAAGUAUCGUACGAAUAAGGAUCGGCUAACUCCGUGCCAGCAGCCGCAGUAA